rnacentral:sRNA from 1 species
UCGAUCUGCUGCGGGCAGAUGAAAUGGAUAUGCGCGUCCAUGCCGCCAGCCGUUAGAAUCUUGCCCUCGCAGGCGAUGAUUUCCGUGCCGGGCCCGAUAAUGAUGGUAACGCCCGGCUGCGUGUCGGGAUUGCCGGCCUUGCCGAUGGCGGCAAUCAGCCCGUCCUUGAGCCCGACAUCCGCCUUGUAGAUGCCGGUAUGGUCGACGAUCAGGGCAUUGGUGAUGACCGUAUCGACGGCGCCGUCAGCCCGGGCCACCUGGCUCUGUCCCAUGCCGUCGCG